AGAGUUUGAUCCUGGCUCAGGACGAACGCUGGCGGCGUGCCUAAUACAUGCAAGUCGAGCGAACAGAGAAGGAGCUUGCUCCUUCGACGUUAGCGGCGGACGGGUGAGUAACACGUGGGCAACCUACCUUAUAGUUUGGGAUAACUCCGGGAAACCGGGGCUAAUACCGAAUAAUCUGUUUCACCUCAUGGUGAAACAUUGAAAGACGGUUUCGGCUGUCGCUAUAGGAUGGGCCCGCGGCGCAUUAGCUAGUUGGUGAGGUAACGGCUCACCAAGGCGACGAUGCGUAGCCGACCUGAGAGGGUGAUCGGCCACACUGGGACUGAGACACGGCCCAGACUCCUACGGGAGGCAGCAGUAGGGAAUCUUCCACAAUGGGCGAAAGCCUGAUGGAGCAACGCCGCGUGAGUGAAGAAGGAUUUCGGUUCGUAAAACUCUGUUGUAAGGGAAGAACAAGUACAGUAGUAACUGGCUGUACCUUGACGGUACCUUAUUAGAAAGCCACGGCUAACUACGUGCCAGCAGCCGCGGUAAUACGUAGGUGGCAAGCGUUGUCCGGAAUUAUUGGGCGUAAAGCGCGCGCAGGUGGUUUCUUAAGUCUGAUGUGAAAGCCCACGGCUCAACCGUGGAGGGUCAUUGGAAACUGGGAGACUUGAGUGCAGAAGAGGAUAGUGGAAUUCCAAGUGUAGCGGUGAAAUGCGUAGAGAUUUGGAGGAACACCAGUGGCGAAGGCGACUGUCUGGUCUGUAACUGACACUGAGGCGCGAAAGCGUGGGGAGCAAACAGGAUUAGAUACCCUGGUAGUCCACGCCGUAAACGAUGAGUGCUAAGUGUUAGGGGGUUUCCGCCCCUUAGUGCUGCAGCUAACGCAUUAAGCACUCCGCCUGGGGAGUACGGUCGCAAGACUGAAACUCAAAGGAAUUGACGGGGGCCCGCACAAGCGGUGGA
rnacentral:rRNA from 1 species